AGAGUAGAGGUUGCGUAUUAGAAGAGUAAUCCAUUGGAUGUUUCAGGAGACAUGGGAAAAUGGAUGAAAGGAUGAUACGCCGAAAGUAGAUCUUUCCUGAUGAGAUAUUUACUUGGGCAUAUGGUUAAUAGCCAUAUGACUGUCAUCUGACUUUUUGAAGUUUAGAUGGUGAGCUACCGC
rnacentral:ncRNA from 1 species